rfam:Colletotrichum gloeosporioides Cg-14 contig02345, whole genome shotgun sequence.
GGCAAUCUGGCCGAGCGGUCUAAGGCGCCAGACUCAAGCGUUCGCUUCAUUCUCCAAGAGGAUAGCAUUCUGGUCUCGAAAGAGGCACGAGUUCGAAUCUCGUGGUUGUCA